CUCAUUUUCAAUCAUACCACGUCUCUUUUUAUAGUGUAUUAGAUAAUAACUUGUUUUAUAUUAAAUCUCAAUUCGCGUUAACCUAAAACACGGGGAAUUCAUUGAAAAAAACGACCGGUAUUUGAAAAUGUAUAUAACUCACGACUACUAUGGUCGUUCUAACCGCUAUUAUUACGUUGACAGUCGAUGGUUUGACAAUGGUGUAUUAUUGGUUGACACUUGGGUAAUAGUGUUUAACGCUUUUGUGCGAUUGUUUAAUGCUGAGUACGAUUGUUUGACGCUUAGAACGAUUGUUUCGCGCUGAGUGCGAUUGUUUGAUCCUUAGUACGAUUGUUUGACGAUGAGAACGAUUGUUUGAAACUGAACUAUGAUUGCGUGACGCUGAUAUACUAUUGUUUGACACUUAAGCACGGUUGUCUUUUUUUCUUAUUAAACAACGAUGUAUUGUAUUAUUUUCAAUAUUUUCCAUGUUCCUAGCUAUGUCAAUAAAAAAAAUGUAAAUUUAUAGCAGAUUUUAUGAUUUUGAGUUGAUUAAUCUUCGCCAGUAUGCAGUAUAAUGUAAAAGUACGAUUUAGCUUUUAUCAAUAAACUUGUACUUGAUUAUCAAAUGUUGCAAACACUGUUUAAAGAGGUGUACAUUAUAAUAUGAACUAAACUAUGGUUAUUAGCAAUAUACUUGCAGAAUACAUCGGCGUUGCUAAACGGCUAAGAGAGUUUAAAGCAAAGGUCCAAAAUAACGCUCAUCAACCAAAAGAAGAAACCUAAGUUUCCAAUGGUGGCAGUUGCUGACUAUGCAGGCAAAUGAGUCAAGUGCGGUAAGAUGAUCUAAAAUUGAAUACUUCCUCUAAAUGGAUCAAAGCUGACCGGUGAUUCAUGCAGAAGGACGUUCAAGAUCUAUGAUUAACGAUGACCAUGCAGAUUUCGUAUCCUCUAAAAAAUGACAGAGAAUGUGAAUGCUUUAUAGUUUUAACCUCAAGACAAAUAUAGUGUUGUUCCAGCACACAAUGCAUCUUAGAUAAUAUUGAUUUUAUAUGUCUCAUUAAAGAAUCGAAAUGCACUAAAAACAAGUUGAAUCCCAUAUAUAUCUAUCACAUAAACAUCAUUCACAACAUAUAGAGUUUUAGAAAUUACAAGUCAGUCUCAUCUUUCCUCCGGUUAUGCCAUAAUACAUGAUAAUGAACCUCUACAGUUUCAUAGAUAGACUUGUCAACUUCACACAAUUAUAAAGAAUGAUUUCAAGCGAUUGAAAUAGCAGUGUCAAUUUAAUAGAUUACUUUCGAGAUUGUCCGUCAUCGGCAAAAAACUCGGCAAUUAUGCGCGCCUUUAAGACAUCGGGUUUGACACUGAUGUACUAUUGCUUGGCGCUGGAGUAAUAUUUUGCGACGCUUAAAGGCGAUUGUUUGACGCUGAGUACGAUUGUUUGACGCUGGUUUCGAUUGUUUGACGCUGAGUACGAUUGUAUGACGCUUGAGGAAUAGAGUUUGACGCUAUAUGGCGAUUUCGUGAUGCUGAGUACGAUUGUUUGACGCUGAGAACAAUUGUUUGACGUUUGAGUAAUCGUGUUAGACGCUAUAGGGCGAUUGUUUGACACUGGGUACAUUUGUUUGACGCUGAGUACGAUUGUUUGAAACUGAACUAUGAUUGCGUGACGCUGAAAUACUAUUGUUUGACACUAAAGCACGGUUGCAUCUUAUUAAAUAACGAUGUAUUUUAUUAUUUUCAAUAUUUUACAUGUUCCUAUGUCGAUGACAAAGAA
rnacentral:lncRNA from 1 species